AAGUCGUAACAAGGUAACCGUAGGUGAACCUGCGGUUGGAUCAUUAAAAAUUUCAAUAGCCUCUCAUUGCGCGCUAGCCGAAAGCAAUGAAUGUUGGCAUUACAUUUUGUGCACUGUAACGUCUUUGGUGGUUGGGCGGUUUGUCUUUUUAUGACACUCUCGUCUGUCAGCUUGGGUUUAUCAUAAUCCUCGCCGUGGACACGCCACCGCUUGUCUUUCAACCUAUGUUUUCAUGAAUUGUCUGACUACUUGUAUUUAAAAUAUACAAACAACUUUUGGCAACGGAUCUCUUGGUUCUC
rnacentral:misc_RNA from 1 species